rnacentral:rRNA from 1 species
GACGAACGCUGGCGGCGUGCUUAACACAUGCAAGUCGAACGGAAAGGCCCUGCUUUUGUGGGGUGCUCGAGUGGCGAACGGGUGAGUAACACGUGAGUAACCUGCCCUUGACUUUGGGAUAACUUCAGGAAACUGGGGCUAAUACCGGAUAGGAGCUCCUGCUGCAUGGUGGGGGUUGGAAAGUUUCGGCGGUUGGGGAUGGACUCGCGGCUUAUCAGCUUGUUGGUGGGGUAGUGGCUUACCAAGGCUUUGACGGGUAGCCGGCCUGAGAGGGUGACCGGCCAAAUGGGGACUGAGAUACGGCCCGGACCCCUACGGGAGGCAGCGGGGGGGAAUAUUGCAAAAUGGGCGGAAGCCUGAUGCAGCAACGCCGGGGGGGGGAUGACGGCCUUCGGGUGGUAAACCGUUUUCGCCUGUGACGAAGGGUGGGUGCCGGUAAUGGGGAAAGAAGCACCGGCUAACUACGG